GGGAAACAGAUGAAGUGUAAUUUGAUUGCUAACUGACGGGCCGAUGGCAGAUGAGUGUUGGCAGCAUGAAGAUGGGGACGCCAUGGCGCCUUCAGCUUCACUGAAGACAAGCUGGGAAAUUAUUUAUUUCAAAAGCAAUUGUUUAAAAGCGUUACAGAAAAAGACAGUUCUUUUGUGAGCAGUUAAUUGUUCAGUCUGGUGCUUUUCAUUAGGCCUGUCGAGACGGCCGAUAUCGCUGCUGCCAUGUGGCUUUCUCUGCACCGUCCCUCUCAUGGUACGUUCAUUGAACCUCACUAAAACGCAGAUCAGGAGUGACAUGGACAGAAGCCAAUCACAUGGAUGGAUUUAAUCCAACGGAUGAAGCAAGAAAUGAGAGGACUCAGGACUCAGGAAACUUCGCUCUGAAAUUUUGCAUUUAACCGUCGACGGCACCAGCAGCCGCCUCUCACUGCCUGCCAGGGAGCACACGUCUCGUACGGCCAACCAGCGAGUCCUUCUGCCGCUGUGAUCCGUGUACAGAGGGCAUCAUCUACCACACGCGUGCUCUUCGCCGUCAAGGUACUGAAGCACACGCAUACAAGAAUGCAGAAUUCGACAUUUCAAAAUCGAUUGCUGGCUUC
ensembl:lncRNA